rnacentral:lncRNA from 1 species
CUCAGACUCUCGAGCGCCGGCCCCAGGAUGACAAUCACAUCCCAAGCGCGCCGAUCGCUUCCAACUUUGCUCUCCUUUUGCUAACUCUGGGCGGAGCGGCAAUCUCGACGUACAACUGGCCUUAGUCUUGGCUCGGGCCGUUCGGGAACACAAAGGGAAAGAUGCAGCGGGCUGCGCUCGGGAGAACGCUCUGCGCCCUCCUCGCCAGUGCGAAUAGCGAAGUUGGCGGACGUCUUGUUCUCCCGAGAGCUGGGCUGGGAGGUGGUUUUUCUCCCUCCACGCUCCACAGUGGCUUCUCCCUCCUGCCGGAGGUCUCUAGGUUGAGCUGGAGACCUGGAAUUCAGAUCCCAGGGAGAGUCGAUGGAUGCCGGCGCUCAGGGCACAGCGAGGCCGAGAUGACCGCCUUUCUGCGCCAGCAACUGCAGCAGGAUGUUUCUUGGCUUCAAACCAUUUGGAUAAGUGAUGGCAGCAAGCUUCGCCACUGUAAAGUCACCUCUUUGUAAGAAGACAGGAGCUCUUUGUAAAGAAUAUGAGACCUGAGGCUGGGGGAUGGCUGAGAAGGGAAAAGCACCUCUGCACAAGCGUGAGAAAAGGAGUUUGUUCUUCCACAUCCAUGUAGAAAUCUUGAUGCCGUGCCGUGAACCCCAGCUCUCCUACGGGAAGAUGGGAGGCGUAGACAGGAGUUCAUCUGGAAGCUUGAGGCCAGCCACCCAGAUCCUCAGAGCUGCAGACAAAAGAGAGGCCCUGCAGCAAAAGAGUGGAAGGUGAGAACCAACUCCGGAAAGUUGCCCUCUGACCUUUACAAGUGUAUACAUCCACACACAUACAAUAAAAUCAAUUGCUCAAUCACG